ACGGAAGGCAGCAGUGGGGAAUAUUGGGCAAUGGGGGAAACCCUGACCCAGCAACGCCGCGUGAGGGAAGAAGGUUUUCGGAUCGUAAACCUCUGUCCUUGGUGACGAAGGAAGUGACGGUAGCCAAGGAGGAAGCCCCGGCUAACUACGUGCCAGCAGCCGCGGUAAUACGUAGGGGGCGGGCGUUGUCCGGAAUGACUGGGCGUAAAGGGCGUGUAGGCGGCAUUGUAAGUCCGGAGUGAAAGUCCUGCUUUCAAGGUGGGAAUUGCUUUGGAGACUGCAGAGCUUGAGUACGGGAGAGGUAAGUGGAAUUCCCGGUGUAGCGGUGAAAUGCGUAGAGAUCAGGAGGAACACCAGUGGCGAAGGCGACUUACUGGGCCGUAACUGACGCUGAGGCGCGAAAGCGUGGGGAGCGAACAGGAUUAGAUACCCUGGUA
rnacentral:rRNA from 1 species